UCGUCACAUAUACCAGAUAGUUAAUUCUCCCAAAAUUCGCAAAAUGCACAUUUUUGGACAGCAUUUUAGGACAUUCGUGGGCAGUACAUGGAGCUUCUGCACGUCUGCAUUGAUAAAAGAUGAGUUUAUCUUUGUUCUCCAACAGUUUACAAACCCGUAGAGGAUGGAUAAACAGGUUCCAAAAAGCCACAAAAUAUAUGCUUUUUAGCAAACAGAAAAUGAUUGUGUACCUCAAGUAAGUAUUUAAACGGCUUAUUGUUGUAUUGUGCGUAUAAAAUUUGCAUACGAGUACAAUGUCGGAUACAUGCCCGACUGCAUUCUAUUCUUUCUUGAAAUGGAAAUUUGGUGAAUAUGAGCCCGCGCGUCUUUCCGCUGACUGUCCUGAAUUUCUGGCCAUGUUUU